AAACACAUACAACUUUGAUGCAAAGGUUCUAUCAUUAACGCCAACUUAAUUCUUACGAGUCAUCUCCUAAUAUAAGCAAAACCUUAGCUGAAUAACACCACACUGCUUCUAAUAUAUUCGCUGUCUUUCUCCCAAAUACAAACCAAACAUUACUUCUUAUAAAGAUGAAAAAAAAUCAAUGGCUCUUAUUACCUUUCUGAAAAUUGCCACCGUUGACCAAUUAAUCUUUCUCUUCUUCGUAUCUUCUC
rnacentral:lncRNA from 1 species